rnacentral:rRNA from 1 species
AGGAAAGAGAAGUCGUAACAAGGUUUUCGCAGAUGAACAUGCGGAAGGAUCAUUG